UGGGGAAUAUUGCACAAUGGGCGCAAGCCUGAUGCAGCCAUGCCGCGUGUGUGAAGAAGGCCUUCGGGUUGUAAAGCACUUUCAGCGAGGAGGAAGGUGGUGAACUUAAUACGUUCAUCAAUUGACGUUACUCGCAGAAGAAGCACCGGCUAACUCCGUGCCAGCAGCCGCGGUAAUACGGAGGGUGCAAGCGUUAAUCGGAAUUACUGGGCGUAAAGCGCACGCAGGCGGUUUGUUAAGUCAGAUGUGAAAUCCCCGGGCUCAACCUGGGAACUGCAUUUGAAACUGGCAAGCUAGAGUCUCGUAGAGGGGGGUAGAAAUUCCAGGUGUAGCGGUGAAAUGCGUAGAGAUCUGGAGGAAUACCGGUGGCGAAGGCGGCCCCCUGGACGAAGACUGACGCUCAGGUGCGAAAGCGUGGGGAGCAAAACAGGAUUAGAUACCCUGGUAGUCCACGCUGUAAAACGAUGUCGAUUUGGAGGUUGUGCCCUUGAGGCGUGGCUUCCGGAGCUAACGCGUUAAAUCGACCGCCUGGGGAGUACGGCCGCAAGGUUAAAACUCAAAGGAAUUGACGGGGUCAUAGCUGUUUCCUG
rnacentral:rRNA from 1 species